UACGUAGGGUGCGAGCGUUGUCCGGAAUUACUGGGCGUAAAGAGCUUGUAGGUGGUUUGUCGCGUUGUUCGUGAAAUCUCACGGCUCAACUGUGAGCGUGCGGGCGAUACGGGCAGACUAGAGUACUGCAGGGGAGACUGGAAUUCCUGGUGUAGCGGUGAAAUGCGCAGAUAUCAGGAGGAACACCGGUGGCGAAGGCGGGUCUCUGGGCCGUAACUGACGCUGAGGAGCGAAAGCAUGGGGAGCGAACAGG
rnacentral:rRNA from 1 species